rnacentral:lncRNA from 1 species
CUACCAGGUAGCAGGCUGGAAGGAGGAAUAGUCCCUGAGCCCUGCUUCCCUUCAGAGUGACUUGGCCCCACCGCACCCCUUCCCUGAAGGCCGGGCGGCCGUGGUCCCCCUCCAGGAAGCGGGCAGCUGGGCAGGGAGAACCCCAGCCUGCCAGGCCCCUUCCCUGCCCACCUCCCCACCAUCCAACGGCCCUCCUUCCUCUCGGCCCCAGCACCCAGGGCGCGGCCCACCACAGGGCUCGGACACUUGGCCAAGCCAGGCUCCUGGCCCAGGUGAGACCCCCCACCGGACUCCACCCUGCCUGCGGGGGUCUCGGGGAGGCCCAGGGCACUAGCCGUGGGGCCACUUCUCCACUAAGCUGGGUCUCCACCUCGCGCCCUCCACGCCCUGGUCCCGUGGCUGAGGGGCCAGUUCUGCUCCCCCGCAGCCCACGGCCCACCUCCCCUGCUUCGGGGGGGCUGGCAGCCCCAGGGCAUGACCCUCUGGCCGCCGAGGUGGCACCGCUGGGGUUAAGGGCUGCUCAGAUCGCAGAGCCUCGGCUUCCGGUUUUCGGGAGACGCCGAUUAUUAAUGGCCAUUGUUCUUCCCUUCUGGGGCAUGAAAACGGCCGUCCCCUCACAACCGGAAGAGAGCAGGUCGCGGUUCCCAGAGUAUGAAAUGUCAGCCUCCGGCGGCGGGCGGCAAGGACACUGGCCCAGCAGUGCUCAAAAUAGACUCGAGGACUGAGUGUCCAGCCCCGGGAGGCGCUGGGCCCAGGCGAGCUGUCCCCUUUCUCUUUCUUUACAGAUAAAAAGGAAGGAAGCUGACAGGUCAGCCCCGAGGACUCGCCGUCUUAGACGUGGAACUCAGUGGGACCGCAGACAGAGCCCGUCUGCAGGGACCUCUGACCACGCGCAAGUCCCUGGGGUCUGGCAGUACAGCCUGCGGUGCCCCCUGUCCGCCCCCUCCCCAGGGACUGGCCCUGCAGCCUGCCGAGGCUGGCACCGCCCAGAGCUUGUGCCGUGACGGAGAAGCUCUGUACCUGCUACGUCCACUCCAGUACCCACCAGCCACGUGCAGCCAGAGGGCGUUUGAAGAGUGACACCGCGAUCGGCGCCCGCGGUACGCGCUCUUUCGUGUUAACAGAUUUAGACUGAAAUGGCCAUAUUUGAAUGGUGGCUAGUGGCUACUGGUGUUGGACAGCUUCAUGUCCGGCCCAGGGGGAGAGAGCAGCGACGGACUGACAGCCUCUGCCACACUUGGGGUGAGACGGGCAAACCUGAAGGCCACGCUCCUCAGUGACCAGGGGACGGGUGGCAUCCCAGGACCUGAGGCCUAAUCAGUGACCCUGGGUCCACCCAGUCUCAGCGUUUAGGAGAAAGCAUGUCUGUGCAGUUUAAGGGGAGUCCCUGCUGUCCAGGCUCUUGGCCUUGGCUCAGCAACCAGAGAGCGUCCAAAACCCCACACCAGCCACGCUCCAGGUUCUGCUGGAACCCUGAGCCGGACACCCCCCCCCCAGCCCCAGCCACCAGGGCCUCCUCUCCGCCCAGCCUCCCUGGCCUCAUCCACUUCACUCUGCCCUCCACUCCAGGGUGGACCCUGCCCCACCCCUGGAGGCCCUGAAAGCAAGGGCCACCUCUGACUCCAUUUCGGCAUCCCCCACCCAAAGCCAGCUCCCGCCGGCCCCCGGGGAAGCCCAUGUGAUUCCAGUGUGUAUCUUCCCACUGUGGCCACCAUGAUGAGACAGAUGCCAUUGUCACGCCAGUUCCCAGGUGAGGACUAAGACGCAGAGGGGCGGGGAGUGGGGAGCUUUGGCCAAGGGCAGAAAAGAAAAUGGCAGGUGUGAGACUCGGAUCUGGGAAUAUGUCCCUCCCAGGACUUGUUCAGCCAAUGGAAGUCAAGUCCACUGUGUCCUUCUUUGCAAACUCAAUAAAUGUUAGGUGACAGAUGGAAAAGUGAGUGGAAGGG